GCAACGCAGUCUCCAGGGGGCAUAACCUGGGCUGGCUCCAUCGUGCUUGGAACAGACCUCUCCUCUUUGCUUUCUUAGACGCCUCUGAGAGAAGCCCCAGCAGACAAGUAACCUGACCCAGACCUCUCAGCUCGCUCCAAAAAUGUCUCUCUCUGAAUCUGGGGACUGAGGCCUCGAUAUUUCAAACAGCUCCUGCGGAGACUGAGAGGACCUUCUGGAAGUUAAUAUCCUGAGUAUCUCCGAGAGCUGUUUCUCGAUAGUGGUCAUUUUGGCGUUCAGGGCCUUGAUGUCCUCCUUCAGCUCGUGCCUCACCUCCAGCACGGUGGCCUGCAGCGUCUGCUCGGGGAUGGGGUAGAAGGAGUGCUUGACCUCGGCCAGGACGGGGCUGCGGUCCUGGGGGCUCCGGGCCUCGCCCACGUUGUCCAGGCGCAAGUCGCUCUUGGUGAUGCCGCUGUCGCACGAGUCUGUCUUCUUCAGCGUGGCCUCGCCGGACGCCUUCGUCCUCUCAGGGAGGGUCUCCAUCGACUCAGCCUUGGACACCUUGUUCCAGUCCUCGCCCUUCCCGCAAGCAUCUUUGAAGCGGGCCCAGCCUUUGCGCUUGGCACAGUCGCCCCCGCCUCCCUUGGGGCCCAGGCACUCGGACCCUGGCGCGUGCAGCCUGGCGUGGUCCGGCACCCCGGAGGUGGAGGCCGCCUGGAAGGACACGGGUGUGGCAGGGCUCUCGCGGACCGUGACCACGCUGGCCUUCACGAGGCUGUGGUUGGCCGAGCCAUGCUCCGUGAGGACAUUGCCCUUCUCCACGUCGAGGUCAUCCAGGUCCCGGCCCCCGCGCUCUGCCGCCAGCCUGGCCUCUUUCUGCUGUCGGAAGCGCUGGAAGAGUCGCCGGACAGGGUGAUCUGGGGGCAAGAUCAGGGGGGCUUCGUUCUUCCGUUUCAUGCGCUCCUCCUCUUCCCGUUUCACGUCGCUGAUCUUCCGGAACACGAUCUGGAGUGAGAAAGAAUGACACGCUGUGUUAGCCACACUCAGCCCCUCUACCAGUCACAGCUCUCUCCUUCCCGCCCACUAAGGGUCUGGGACUCACAGCCUGCAAGGCCUCAGGAGGCUUUUCUCAGGCCUGACUUUCUUAUCACUUUCAUUUUCUAUGUACUCAACCCAUCAAAACCUUAGAUCCAUUAGAUGGUAUCCAUUGAUGACAAUCCUUCAUGCAGAGGACAGAGAGCCAAACAGCCUCAUGAAUUUGGCUCUGGAGUCCAGCAUUGGCCACAGAUUACAGGGCUCUCCCCUGCGCCAGCAUCAUCUCCAUCUGGAAAACCUUGUGCCCCCUGUGAGCAGCCCAGACCAACCCAGAACCUAAGUCUUGGGGAGGCACACAUGGUGGCAUUCCAGGAGCAUGGACUUUGGCAAGUUUAAGUCCCAGCCCACACCAUUAACCAUAUAGCCUUAGACACACACCUUAAAUUUCCGAAUCUCAGCUUCCUCCUUAAAAUAGGGGAAGAAUCUCUACUUUUCAGACUUAGGGUAAGGCUAACACAAACGUGAAAGCACUGGCCCACUGUUGAUGGAAGUGGAUCCUGCUGUCCUCACCCUGUUGAGGGCCCCAAAUGUAGAUGAUACAUAACUUACCCUGCGGCACUCCCCUGCACUCUGAUAGCACCACUCAGUAGGUUCUCAGAUAUGACCAACAAAAUGGUAAUUUUAUAGUACCCAACAUGGACGAGCCUAACAAACAUUUAAUUACUGCAUUUAAUGGAUGCUAGUGGUCAGCAGGUUGUAAAUUACUGGCAGACUGGAGCCCACACCUGUAAUCUAACUUCUUGGUCAAAACUCCUGUCACUAACAGGUCUGUGGGUGAUUAAAUCUUCAAGCCAUGUUACCUGGGUCCCAAUAUGUGGCUCUCUGACCUCCACUGCACAGCCUUACUCCUGUCCCUUCCCCUUGUGAGCUGGGACUUUAUAACCCUGCCUCCCCCUGGGUCCCUCCUCAGCAAUACCCCAUCUGUCCUUGUGGUCCAGCCUGCAGCUCCAAACCACGUGACUCAAGAGAACCUGUCCACUCUGAAGAGGGCUGGAGAAACCCAACUAAAGGCAUCAGGGCUAUGGUUAAGUGGAACCAUCAGGACUCUUUUCACCCAUUCUCCUAAUGCUCUGAGUUGCAUGACUGGCAGUCUUCCACCU